UAUCUCGGCUCUUGCAUCGAUGAAGAACGUAGCGAAAUGCGAUACUUGGUGUGAAUUGCAGAAUCCCGUGAACCAUCGAGUCUUUGAACGCAAGUUGCGCCUGAAGCCAUUAGGCUGAAGGCACGUCUGCCUGGGCGUCACGCAUCGCGUCACCCACUCCCCCUUGCCCCAAGCGGGCAU
rnacentral:rRNA from 1 species